GACAGAGGGUGCAAACGUUGUUCGGAAUUACUGGGCGUAAAGCGCAUGUAGGCGGCCGCGCAGGUCGGAUGUGAAAUCCCUCGGCUCAACCGAGGACGUGCAUACGAAACCGCGUGGCUCGAGUCCUGGAGAGGGUAGUGGAAUUCUCGGCGUAGAGGUGAAAUUCGUAGAUAUCGGGAGGAACACCGGCGGCGAAAGCGGCUACCUGGACAGAGACUGACGCUGAGAUGCGAAAGCGUGGGGAGCAAACAGG
rnacentral:rRNA from 1 species